UACGUAGGGGGCAAGCGUUGUCCGGAAUCAUUGGGCGUAAAGCGCGUGUAGGCGGUCCGGUAAGUCGGCUGUGAAAGUCCAGGGCUCAACCCUGGGAUGCCGGUCGAUACUGCCGUGCUUGAGGACUGGAGAGGAGACUGGAAUUUACGGUGUAGCGGUGAAAUGCGUAGAUAUCGUAAGGAAGACCAGUGGCGAAGGCGGGUCUCUGGACAGUUCCUGACGCUGAGGCACGAAGGUCAGGGGAGCAAACGGG
rnacentral:rRNA from 1 species